rnacentral:rRNA from 2 species
UCGCUCAGAUGAACGCUGGCGUGCGUGCCUUAUUACAUGCAAGUCGAGCGAACAGACGAGGAGCUUGCUCCUCUGACGUAGCGGCGGACGGGUGAGUAACACGUGGAUAACCUACCUAUAAGACUGGGAUAACUUCGGGAAACCGGAGCUAAUACCGGAUAAUAUAUUGAACCGCAUGGUUCAAUAGUGAAAGACGGUUUUGCUGUCACUUAUAGAUGGAUCCGCGCCGCAUUAGCUAGUUGGUAAGGUAACGGCUUACCAAGGCAACGAUGCGUAGCCGACCUGAGAGGGUGAUCGGCCACACUGGAACUGAGACACGGUCCAGACUCCUACGGGAGGCAGCAGUAGGGAAUCUUCCGCAAUGGGCGAAAGCCUGACGGAGCAACGCCGCGUGAGUGAUGAAGGUCUUCGGAUCGUAAAACUCUGUUAUUAGGGAAGAACAAAUGUGUAAGUAACUAUGCACGUCUUGACGGUACCUAAUCAGAAAGCCACGGCUAACUACGUGCCAGCAGCCGCGGUAAUACGUAGGUGGCAAGCGUUAUCCGGAAUUAUUGGGCGUAAAGCGCGCGUAGGCGGUUUUUUAAGUCUGAUGUGAAAGCCCACGGCUCAACCGUGGAGGGUCAUUGGAAACUGGAAAACUUGAGUGCAGAAGAGGAAAGUGGAAUUCCAUGUGUAGCGGUGAAAUGCGCAGAGAUAUGGAGGAACACCAGUGGCGAAGGCGACUUUCUGGUCUGUAACUGACGCUGAUGUGCGAAAGCGUGGGGAUCAAACAGGAUUAGAUACCCUGGUAGUCCACGCCGUAAACGAUGAGUGCUAAGUGUUAGGGGGUUUCCGCCCCUUAGUGCUGCAGCUAACGCAUUAAGCACUCCGCCUGAGACGUCACUUGG